rnacentral:rRNA from 1 species
GGGCCCGCACAAGCGGUGGAGCAUGUGGUUUAAUUCGAUGAUACGCGAGGAACCUUACCAGGACUUAAAUGUAAGUUGCAUGAUUCAGAAAUGAAUCUUUCUUCGGACUACUUACAAGGUGCUGCAUGGUUGUCGUCAGCUCGUGCCGUGAGGUGUCAGGUUAAGUCCUAUAACGAGCGCAACCCCUAUCGUUAGUUGCCAUCAAGUAAAGUUGGGAACUCUAGCGAAACUGCCGGUGCAAACCGUGAGGAAGGUGGGGAUGACGUCAAAUCAUCACGGCCCUUACGUUCUGGGCUACACACGUGCUACAAUGGCCGGUACAGAAAGCAGCCACUAUGCGAAUAGGAGCUAAUCUUUAAAACCGGUCUCAGUUCGGAUCGCAGUCUGCAACUCGACUGCGUGAAGCUGGAAUCGCUAGUAAUCGGAUAUC